rnacentral:misc_RNA from 1 species
AACCAUAGAAACCUGCGGAGUACCUGCGGAGGGAUCAUUAACGAGUUAGGGUCUUCUCAGGCCCGACCUCCCAACCCUUUGUUUACUGAACCUCUGUUGCUUCGGCGGGCCCGUCUCACGACCGCCGGAGGACCGCCGACAGGUGUCCUCUGGCCCGUGUCCGCCGACAGCCAACCUCUCAAAAUUCUGUAUGAAUCGUGUCCUUUAUCUCUAAGUCUAUGAUUUUAAACAAAUCAAAAG